GUCUACGGCCAUACCACCCUGAACGCGCCCAAUCUCGUCUGAUCUCGGAAGCUAAGCAGGGUCGGGCCUGGUUAGUACUUGGAUGGGAGACCGCCUGGGAAUACUGGGUGCUGUAGGCU
rnacentral:rRNA from 1 species